UGACAACAUCCGAAUUCCAAACAAGUGACAAGUCAAGUGGCACUGAACCUGGAGAGUGCCGGUAAUCGUGACACUACUCUGUCAAAGCGUUUCUGAACGACUUUCAAGAAGUUUUAGAUUACUGCAACAUAAUCCUAUCACAAAAAUGGCCGAGUUUGAUGUACAAGAGUGUUACAAGGUUGCUAUGGAGCUUGUCAAAACAGCGGGCAAGCUGGUACGUGAAGCUAUCAACAAAAAGAAGAAUAUUGAGAUAAAAAGUUGUGCUAUUGAUUUGGUUACCGAGUCCGAUAAGGCCGUAGAGAAGCUCUUGAUAUCCGGUCUAUCUAGUUCAUUCCCUGAUCACAAAUUCAUUGGUGAAGAGUCUGUGUCUGCUGGAGAGAAAUGUGUUUUUACUGAUGCUCCUACUUGGAUUAUUGAUCCUAUUGAUGGAACAAUGAACUUUGUUCACUCUUUUCCUCACACCUGCAUUUCAGUAGGUCUUUGGGUUAACAAAGAUGCUGAAUUAGGCAUUGUGUACAAUCCUGUCCUAGAGCAAAUGUUUACAGCAAUCAAGGGUGAAGGUGCUUUUCUGAAUGGAGAAAAGCUCUCAGUUUCUGGCGAGACAGAACUUGCAAAGUCCCUCAUAUUUGCUGAAAUGGGAUCAAGUCAGGAUGCAGAAAAAAUGGAUACAGUUAUUACCAACUUGACUACUCUUUUGCCCAAAGUCCAUGGCUUGCGUGGUAUAGGGUCUGCUGCUCUUGAUAUGUGUUAUGUAGCUGCAGGUUGGGGUGAGGCCUAUUAUCACUUUGGAUUGUGCUGUUGGGACAUGGCUGCUGGAUAUCUCAUAGUGAGAGAGGCCGGGGGGGUUGUCUAUGACUCUGCAGAUUACGUGCCAUGGGAUCGUGUGCAUUGAACAUGUGCUAUGUAGCCACGGGAGGUGGUGAUGCCUACUAUGAAUUUGGGAUUCAUGCUUGGGAUACAGCUGCUGCAUACUUGGUGGUGAAAGAGGCAGGGGGAGUCAUUGUUGAUACAGAGGGUGGCCCAUUUGACCUCAUGAAUCGUCGAGUUCUCUGUGCUUCCACGCAGCAGCUGGCUGAGACUUUGUCCAAGAUUCUGAAACAGUACCAGCCAGAAAGAGAUGGUGUUUCCAAAUAAAGUUGUAUGGUUUGUAAAGCAAGAGGCAACAUGCAAUGGAAAUAUUUAACAAAAUUUAUCAUUCUGUUGAUUGUACACCUUUCUUUCAUAAGUGCAAUGAUUGCACUGUUCAGUUUUUCUUCAUGUUAUUCAAGUGCAUCACAUAUUGAACACCAAAGGUUGCUAUAAUAAGAUUUUUUUAUUUACUGUGCAAUAUUUUAUGUUUUGGAAUGUUAUAUUUAUUUUUCUAUAUUAAUAGAAGGCUGUUGCUUGUAUGUUCAGGAGGAAAUAGAAGAGUAAUAAAUUUCAGUAUGUCAAUGAAGUAGGUGUUGAAUCAAAAUUGGUGUAGUAGUAUUAGUUUAUAGAGAAGUCUAAUGUGAAUUGUAAUGAAAAUGAUUAAAUAAUUACCCAUGCUUGUGCUUAAUGAAAUAUGAAUGAAAAAACUCGGAGUAGAUAGCAAGUGUGUAGUACCUUGAACUCAUCACCAAAGAAUUGAAGAGAAAGGGAAAUACCGUGCAGCUUUUAAGGAUGCAAAGGAGGUAUUUUAAGGAAGUGUUUUAAGGUAUACUGAGCAGAACAAUGUACAUCUUUUACAUUUAGGAGUGUUUUCUGGAGAUUUUUUAAAAUUUCAAAUCAUGUACUUACCUCAUGGUCUAAGUAGUACUUAAUACUAUUCACUGACUAGAUCAUUUCAGGACUAAGUGGAGAAUAUUUUUUUUUAGAUUGUAACAUAUUUUUUUAAAUAGACUAAUGUUCUCAUGAUAACAGGGUGCCUUUAUCUUCAAACUGGUGGAAAUUUGAUUAUGACCAGGUAAUGUGGAAGAUUAAGUUUUAUUUUAUUGUUGAACAUCCAUUUUUAAGGUAUCAGAUAAUUACAAGUACUGCAAGGUAUUCCUGUAACUCUUACUCAUAUCACUCUUCCAGCCUUCUAGUCAUGAUUUGUGUUGCAGUAUAGGCUUUUGUGGAAUUAUUUGUGGUAAUGCCAUAAAUAAGAUAUGCUGUAGACUGGUUAUGGAAAGAACUGGUGUCUACAAUAGAGUUUACUUAUUCUUGUUUAUUUUGUCAUUGUUUUGUCAAAAUUCUUCUAUGUGAUUAAACGCAAAACAAAG